rnacentral:rRNA from 1 species
UCAACUGGUUGAUAUUCCAGUACCACCAUGUUCGCGUCCGUCCCAAUACUCUGUUGCUAAGGGGCUGUGUUGACUUCGGUCAACGCGAACCGACCCACAUUGUUGCGGGAAGCUGUAGGGGGACGCAGGAAGGUAGAUGAACCCGGUGAAUGGUAGAACCGGGGUAAGCGUGUAGGAGGAGGACCAGGUAAAUCCGGGCCUCAUAAACUCUGAGACGUGAUACCGAGCCGCUUCAGGCGAAGUCAUUGAUCCUAUGCUGCCUAGAAAAGCCCAGCAGCGAGUUGACAUGGUGCCCGUACCCCAAACCAACACAGGUGGACAGGUAGAGCAUACCAAGGCGAGUGGGAUAACUAUGGUUAAGGAACUCGGCAAAUUGCCUCCGUAACUUCGGGAGAAGGAGGACCCCAGUAGCGUGAUGAGACUUGCUCUCUGAGCGUGAAGGGGUGGCACAAAAUUGAGGGAAGCGACUGUUUACCAAAAACACAGCAGCGUGCUAAGCCGUAAGGCGCUGUAUACGCUGUGACUCCUGCCCGGUGCUGGAAGGUUACGGGGAUGGGUUAGUCCUUCGGGACGAAGCUCUGAACCUAAGCCCCAGUAAACGGCGGCCGUAACUAUAACGGUCCUAAGGUAGCGAAAUUCCUUGUCGGGUAAGUUCCGACCUGCACGAAUGGAGUAACGACUUCCCUACUGUCUCAACCAUAGACCCAGCGAAAUUGAAGUACGAGUAAGGAUACUCGUUAGCUGCAGAAGGACGGAAAGACCCCGUGGACCUUUACUAUAACUUGAUGUUGUGUUUUGUCAUAUGUUGUGUAGGAUAGGUGGGAGACUUGGAAGCAUGGACGCUAGUCUGUGUGGAGUCAUCGUUGAAAUACCACCCUGCAUAUGGUGAGGCUCUAACCUAGACCCGUUAUCCGGGUUGGGGACAGCGUCAGGCGGGUAGUUUAACUGGGGCGGUUGCCUCCUAAAGAGUAACGGAGGCGCCCAAAGGUUCCCUCAGCCUGGUUGGCAAUCAGGCGUUGAGUGCAAUGGCAAAAGGGAGCUUGACUGCGAGACCUACAAGUCGAGCAGGAGCGAAAGCUGGGCAUAGUGAUCCGGCGGUUGCGUGUGGAAGCGCCGUCGCUCAACGGAUAAAAGGUACCCCGGGGAUAACAGGCUAAUCUUGCCCAAGCGUCCAUAGCGACGGCAAGGUUUGGCACCUCGAUGUCGGCUCAUCGCAUCCUGGUGCUGAAGCAUGUCCCAAGGGUUGGGCUGUUCGCCCAUUAAAGCGGUACGCGAGCUGGGUUCAGAACGUCGUGAGACAGUUCGGUCCCUAUCCUCUGCAGCCGGAGGUGAAUUGAGGAAAGCUGUCCCUAGUACGAGAGGACCGGGACGGACGCAGCUCUCGUGUGCCAGUUGUCCUGCCAAGGGCAUGGCUGGUUAGCGACCUGCGGAAAGGAUAACCGCUGAAAGCAUCUAAGCGGGAAGCCUCUUCCAAGAUGAAUUCACCCACAGGGUUAACCUGGUAAGGCCCGUGGUAGACCACCACGUUGAUAGGCCGGAAGUGUAAGCGUGGCAACACGUUCAGCUGACCGGUACUAAUCGGCC